rnacentral:rRNA from 1 species
UACGUAGGGGGCAAGCGUUGUCCGGAAUUACUGGGCGUAAAGGGCGCGUAGGCGGAUAGUUCAGUCGGGGGUGAAAGCCCGGGGCUCAACCUCGGAACUGCCUUCGAUACUGGCUAUCUUGAGUACGGGAGAGGUGUGUGGAACUCCGAGUGUAGAGGUGAAAUUCGUAGAUAUUCGGAAGAACACCAGUGGCGAAGGCGACACACUGGCCCGUUACUGACGCUGAGGCGCGAAAGCGUGGGGAGCAAACAGG